rnacentral:rRNA from 1 species
CCAUCCCAGUUCGGAUCGCAGGCUGCAACCCGCCUGCGUGAAGUUGGAAUCGCUAGUAAUCGCGGAUCAGCAUGCCGCGGUGAAUACGUUCCCGGGCCUUGUACACACCGCCCGUCACACCAUGAGAGUCGGGAACACCCGAAGUCCGUAGCCUAACCGCAAGGGGGCGCGGCCGAAGGUGGGUUCGAUAAUUGGGGUGAAGUCGUAACAAGGUAAC